rnacentral:rRNA from 1 species
UUUCUCCUGGAAACGGGUGGUAAUGCCGGAUGCUCCAGUUGAUCGCAUGGUCUUCUGGGAAAGCUUUCGCGGUAUGGGAUGGGGUCGCGUCCUAUCAGCUUGACGGCGGGGUAACGGCCCACCGUGGCUUCGACGGGUAGCCGGCCUGAGAGGGCGACCGGCCACAUUGGGACUGAGAUACGGCCCAGACUCCUACGGGAGGCAGCAGUGGGGAAUAUUGCACAAUGGGCGCAAGCCUGAUGCAGCGACGCCGCGUGAGGGAUGGAGGCCUUCGGGUUGUAAACCUCUUUUAUCGGGGAGCAAGCGAGAGUGAGUUUACCCGUUGAAUAAGCACCGGCUAACUACGUGCCAGCAGCCGCGGUAAUACGUAGGGUGCAAGCGUUAUCCGGAAUUAUUGGGCGUAAAGGGCUCGUAGGCGGUUCGUCGCGUCCGGUGUGAAAGUCCAUCGCUUAACGGUGGAUCCGCGCCGGGUACGGGCGGGCUUGAGUGCGGUAGGGGAGACUGGAAUUCCCGGUGUAACGGUGGAAUGUGUAGAUAUCGGGAAGAACACCA